UACGGAGGGUGCAAGCGUUAAUCGGAAUUACUGGGCGUAAAGCGUGCGCAGGCGGUUUGUUAAGUCUGCUGUGAAAUCCCCGAGCUCAACUUGGGAAUUGCAGUGGAUACUGGCAGGCUGGAGUAUGGUAGAGGAAGGUGGAAUUCCCGGUGUAGCAGUGAAAUGCGUAGAGAUCGGGAGGAACACCAGUGGCGAAGGCGGCCGUCUGGACCAAUACUGACGCUCAUGCACGAAAGCGUGGGGAGCAAACAGG
rnacentral:rRNA from 1 species